rnacentral:rRNA from 1 species
CAGCCGCCACGGUAAUACGAAGGGUGCAAGCGUUACUCGGAAUUACUGGGCGUAAAGCGUGCGUAGGUGGUGGUUUAAGUCCGUUGUGAAAGCCCUGGGCUCAACCUGGGAAUUGCAGUGGAUACUGGGUCACUAGAGUGUGGUAGAGGAUAGUGGAAUUUCCGGUGUAGCAGUGAAAUGCGUAGAGAUCGGAAGGAACAUCUGUGGCGAAGGCGACUAUCUGGGCCAACACUGACACUGAGGCACGAAAGCGUGGGGAGCAAACAGGAUUAGAUACCCCUGUAGUCCCUGUCUCUUAUAC